ACUCCGGCAUUCAUUUCCAUUUCAGAUACUGGAAGAUCCUGACAAAAAUAGAUAUAAAGCGCCUAUAAUAGGUUUAGUGGAACCCAAUUCAACCGAUAGAAGAAGUGGCAGAAUAAUAGUUUAUGGAGACUCAAAUUGUAUCGAUGCAAGUCAUCUAGAAUCAGCUUGUUAUUGGAUGCUAGAUGCCAUGCUGGAAUAUACGUCUACAUCUCAUCUACCGUCUAUAUUCAAGGAUAAUCGCAUGAUCAGUUGGGAAGGAGUUGUAGAAACUGAUACCCCAAUUAGGAUGGAUGGAAAUCGUCUGUAUAGAUAUUCUCAAGUGUUGGAAGGAAACCUAGGAGAUUCCCAGCCGAGAUCGAUCCCUCAAUGUCCACAUUUGGCUUGGACUCAACCUGUACCUCUGAAUGUGUCCGCUCCGAGUAACCUUUACCAAUCACAGAAACUGUUGUCGUUGAUUGAGGACGUCAAUUUUCCGUUACCCACCGACAGUGACAUGAAAGAUGCUUCGGGCGGAGAGAGCAGUGGCGAAAUGAUUCAGUGGAGUUGGCGCAACAAACCAUCCGAUACAUCAAACCGAACUGAAAGCUUCGAUUUGACAGUGACAUUUUUAAUAUUCCUUUCGAUAAUUGUGAUAUAUUAUAGCCUGAAGUGGUAUCGACCAAAGCCAAAGAAACGAAAACUCUGCAGGAAAUUGCUUGCUAUGGUUCACUGCAGAAGAAUGUCGACAGUUUGAAAGUAUUUAUAAGCACAUAUUUUGAUUACAGAGUUUUUCAUUUAAAAAAUAUUAUGAGUACAUCAAACUGAUAUAUACGAGUGUUUCAAACUUAUGUGUACUAAGUAAUAUUUGUCGACUUGUAUUUAUAUAUUAUAAGUAUCAAGGAAAAUUUAAUUGUCCUUACCUACUUGGUUGACAUGUUUACUUACAGUUUUUAUUAGUUAAUUCAGCAUAAGUUGAUAGUUCAAAUAGUUAAUCUACUAGGUAUCUAAUUCUAGUAAACGAUUAUAUUGCCAUCAAUCAAAAUAUAUUUUGCUCUCCCACUAUG